ensembl:lncRNA
ACACGGAUGAAAAGCCAGACACUGAUUCAGACAGCUCAGAUGGGGAUUCUGCUAGUGUGGAAAAGAAAGAUUCUGAUGAUGCACCUGAUGAUGCAAAUAAAACCUCUACAGGUAUUUGAAAUCACUGCAGAAAUGAUUACAAAUCAAACUCCCGAAAUCAGUGUUGGUUUAGCAUAUAUUUCCUAGUUGAUUAUUGAACAACAGACAUAACAACCAAUCAGAUUUGAGGGUUAAUGUUAGGCUUGAGCGUGGGCCUUUAAUCACUCUUAUCAAGCCACCGUUCGCCUCUGGUGGUAGUUAAUGGUUAGGAUAAGGAGUAUGAACACUGUUAACAUUGUUAAACAUAAACAUUGUUCCAGCACCCACAAAAGAUUUUCUAGAAACACGUCCUACUUGGCACAGACCUUUCUCACUGCAAAAUGAUAUAUUCUUCUGAAACUAUGCUGGCAUAUGAAUGUAUUUUCAGACGGGGAUUCUGCUAGUGUGGAAAAGAAAGAUUCUGAUGAUGCACCUGAUGAUGCAAAUAAAACCUCUACAGGUAUUUGAAAUCACUGCAGAAAAUAUUUCAAAUCAAACGGUGUCAAAUCAGUGUUGAUUUAGCAUUAUUCAUAUACAAUUAUAGUAUUUAUUAAUAUUUUGAAUUAGUUUUUAUUUAUAGAUUUUCUGGUUUUGUUUUAUUUUAAUGUUAGUAAUUAUUAUGUGUUAUUAGAAUUUAUAAAAAAAGAAAUCUAUAGAUAGAUAGAUAGAUAGAUAGAUAGAUAGAAAGAUAGAUAGAUAGAUAGUUUUAAUUUAUUUUUAUUUCUGUUUUUAAUAAUUCUAGUAUUUUACCUUAAACCUUUCUUUCAAAAUAAAAGUUAAAAAAAAUAAAAAUCUUUAAAAAAAAAAUCUUUUCUCUGAGAUAAUGAUCCAGUCUGAUUAAGCCUGUAGUUAGAGAUUAGUUUCGUUACUAAUAACAGUUGUGUUUCUGCUCUAAUGAAGAAGACACAGAUGAUUCAUCUGACAAGGAUUCUUCAGACACAGAUGAGCAGCAGGACUCUGAUGAUUCUGACAAAGACAAAACAGAUGGAAACUUAGAUGAAAAGAGUGGCGAGAAAAAGGAGAAAGACACCAGUAAUGACUCCAGUAAAGACUCAGAAGACGAGGGUCGAGAAAGCUCUGAGACGCCAGACAAAAGCGACACAGACAGCGACUCAGACACUGAUGAGGUGAAAGUUUCAGACGACUCCAAAAACCAGGAUUCAGAAUCGAAAGACACUGACAGCACAGAGAAGAAAGAGAAAGACCAGGACUCUGACAGCGACGCAGACACCAGCAGCGUUCAAGACACGACAGAUUUCCCUGAGGACAGCGCCGAGGAUAAAGACAAGGACAGCAGGGACCCGAAAGACAAUGAAGAUGAUGGAGACAGGGAGAAGGAUGCCAAUGAGAAGGAGGAGACCAAUGAGACUGGCAGCGACAGCAUUGAGGAAAAAGAUAAAGAGGACGAAUCCAAACCAGACGAACAGGACAAGGAAGACACCACCUCAAAAGAAGACGCCGCAACCAGUCAGUCUGAUGAAAGUCCACUGGAGGAAAUGACAGAAGACAAGCAGGAAGACAAACCUGAUUCUGACAGCUCCAGUCUGGACUCAAAUUCAGACACGGACUCUGACAGCAAAGAAAAAGAGCAGGACAAAGACAAAGACAAGAACAGCACAGAGUCCACAGACACAGAUAGCUCUGACAGCAGCAGCAAGAGCGACACAGACAGCUUAGAAACAGGAGGGGAAGAUACUGAUGAAGACAAUGACUCCAGCGUGGAAAAGGAGAAACAGGGUAUUUACUGAUAAAUAUGGAGGCCCAUUUCUACCUCAGAGUAAAAAAUAUACCAGUUAAUGUAAAGUAAAACUGUAAUUUAUUAAAGUCACAGUUGACAAUAUAAAGUAGUCACAUAUUGAGACAAACUCACAAUUAAAGAUAUGAAGCCACAAUUGUGAGAUAUAUAUUCAUACAUGAAGAUGUAAAAUCAUGAGUGUGAGAUAUAAAGUCAACUGUGAAAUGUAAAGUUAUAAUUGAAGAUAAAAAGUCAUGAUUGUGAGAUCAUAUUUUGACAAAGUGAUAUUGUGAGUUAUGAAGUCAUUAUUGAAGAUAUAAAGUCACAUUGUGAGGUAUAAAGUCACAAUUCAGCAUAUAAAGCCAUAAUUAGAAGACAAAGUCAUAAAUGAAGAUAUAAAGUCACUGUGAAAAUGAGAAAAGAAAUAAACAAAAAGGCUUCCGUAGAUAUAAAUUCA